GACGGGUAGCUGGUCUGAGAGGACGAUCAGCCACACUGGCACUGCGACACGGGCCAGACUCCUACGGGAGGCAGCAGUAAGGAAUAUUGCGCAAUGGGCGAAAGCCUGACGCAGCGACGCCGCGUGGGGGAUGAAGGUCUUCGGAUUGUAAACCCCUUUCGGGAGGGAAGAUGGAAUGGGGUAACCCAUUCGGACGGUACCUCCAGAAGCAGCCACGGCUAACUUCGUGCCAGCAGCCGCGGUAAUACGAAGGUGGCAAGCGUUAUUCGGAUUUACUGGGCGUACAGGGAGCGUAGGCGGUUCGGUAAGCCCUUUGUGAAAUCUCCAGGCUUAACCUGGAACAGUCGGAGGGGACUGCCGGGCUAGAGGACGGGAGAGGAGCGCGGAAUUCCCGGUGUAGCGGUGAAAUGCGUAGAGAUCGGGAGGAAGGCCGGUGGCGAAGGCGGCGCUCUGGAACGUUUCUGACGCUGAGGCUCGAAAGCGUGGGGAGCAAACAGGAUUAGAUGCCCUGGUAGUCCACGCCUUAAACUAUGAAUACUAAGUGUCGGCGGGUUACCGCCGGUGCCGCAGCUAACGCAUUAAGUAUUCCGCCUGGGAAGUACGGCCGCAAGGUUGAAACUCAAAUGAAUUGACGG
rnacentral:rRNA from 1 species